GGAACGUGAUCACUGAAACAAUAAACUAAGCAGUUCAAAUCAAUUAAGUUCAGAAAAUCGUUCAUUUGUGAAAGCUUCCUCAUCGACCAAUAAGAGCUAAUAUCAGAAAGAUGGAGAUCUACAAGCGAAAUCAGGGUCCGGCUAUUUCUCCAGACAGCGGCUACUCGGCGGGGGACAUACCAAAUUCACCGCCGGGAACUGCAUCAUCAUCUUAUAUCCCAAUCAUUGUUUGGGGAUUGUUUGGGUGUCUGUUGGUAUCAACAUUGGUAGUGGCUAUUGUGGUUUUCAACAGGCGAACUGCUGCAGCACGAGCAAAUCGUAGCCCAGUUGGAACCCCGUAAUGCAUCUCCAAGGAGAUACUAAUAGCACAGUGUGUGUGAGAAUAAAUGUGUGUGGCUGUUGAGUGAAGAGUCGAGUCAUGUUUAAGUAGUUUUCAUCUCUGUAACAGAAUUAUUAUCUUUCUUAAUAUUUGCAUACAAAAUCGUUCAGCAAUGUAGAUUCUUAUGAAUCUAGUAUGUUUAACUGAGGAUGAUGCUCUGGGAUUGAAUUUGGUGAUGGUACUGGUAUAAAUAUUGGAGUUCUCUUUGAUGAGUCUA